rnacentral:lncRNA from 10 species
CUUAUUUUAUAUAGGGGACACAGUGUGCCCAAGAGCACAAGAUAAACGGCCGGGUGGGGAUUCAAACCCAUGUUCCCUGACUCAAGUCUCUUAAGGAAAUUCUCGGUUAUACUGAAAAAUCCAGAAGCUCUGAAGAUACCAGUCAAAUAAAAUCACACCCUAUAACUCUACACCAGACUUGUGGCAUGGUUUCUGUAGCUGCCAGCGGUAAAACCAAGAGAAACUUUACAAAAACCUUUUGUGCAUCUGAAAAGGAGGAAGUGUGAGAGACACUGGAAAUUCAAUAUGUCAGACAAAGCCGUCUCCUGACACUGCAGGACAGUAGACCAGUCAAACAAUCUUUUUAAAGCCCCCAUGUAAGAAGUUGCUAUAUGAGGUGGCAGCUUGGGUCAGACAUUAUGUAUGGCCUUUGGUAUUUUAGUAGCACUGCAUGUAAAAUUUAACUUUCUAAAAUCGCUGUAUUCGUGGAUAGCUUUUAUCAUUGCACUAGACAACAAGUUACAAUUUAAAAAUUGUAUCUGUUUCUUUUUAUGUUUUUUGAUCCUUUUGGUGUCUGAAGUUUUCCUCUAUUUGCAACCUUCUACAAUUCAUGUUUUGUGUUUAUUAUUUAUAUUAAUACAUCCUCUCCAACACCAGGCAGAUUCUGUUCCCGCCUACCUAGUUUCCCAGCUACAGUUUUUGACAUGAGGGAAUAUGCUGAAUAACUUUUCAAGUCUUGAUUUGUAGAGGGCUGGUCUCUAUGAGGCUAUGAGGGAUCUAAGAAAGAAAGUCGGGUUUUUCCUUGAUGUCUAGUACAGCAUUAACCAGACUAAUCAAUACUUCUACAAGGACAAAGUUAAGCUUGGUAUUCUCUGUUCUCUCUUUAUAUACAACUCCGGUUCUUGUUUCUUUUAGUUUAAUUUUGCAGAUACAGGAAGCUUUAGUAGCCUCAAAAAAAUAAAAUUGCAAAGCUGUGUUGCAUUGCAAGGCUGGUGGAAAACAACAAUUAGUUACCAAGUUCAUUGGUGGCCUAAAGAGGAUACCAAAUUGGUAGAAUGCUAGAGCCAUUUAUUCCUCCAUCAUCCCUUAGAAAUCUAACUUGCCUACUGCAUAAGCCUAGAAUUAAAGCAAGACCAGAGCAAAACAUAGCUAAUGCCUUUCUGAGAUUAAUAUAAGAAUGAGUAGCUUCCAAUAAAUAACAAUAAAAUUAAAGUUCAACAUGGAUCAAGGAAAC